ensembl:lncRNA novel transcript, antisense to CBLN1
GCGGCAGCAGGGUUGGGCUCUCGCCGUGAGUCGACGAAGGGAGCGCGGGCGCGCGCCCGCGUCCGCGCACUGAGAGUCGCCUCGGCCGCUCGCUUUCUCGACUCCCGCCUCGCGCCUCGAUCCUGUUCCGCCUCCCUCGGCCCUCCUGCCCGCCCCCACUCGUCGGCCCUCAGCAUUGUCUUUGAAUAUUAGCAAAUAAUGGAACAUGGGCCAAGGGUGAACCAUGACGAAUUUGUGUUCCAGCAGCCCUGCUUCUUUAGAAUUGACAGUCUGGCUUCGUGGUUAAUUCACAGCAUCUGAGGAAUACAUCCAAAGAGGGUGAUACUGUGGCAUGAUGGUACCAGGAUUCCAAGUUCAUUCCAGAGAAGAUGGCAAGAUGCAGAGAGGAGGAGUCACGCCUGAAGCCACACAGCUGACAUCAGAGCCAAAGCAUGAGCCUCAGUCUCUCUGACCCAGAGCUACCACCCUUGCUGCCUUGGGAAGAAGGAAGCCCCCUCCUAUUCUAUCCUUGAGCUGCCUUGGCAAGGAGGGGCCCCUUGCUGCCGCCAUCCUCACAGGACACCAUCCACAUGAGGGGAUGAACAGUCAGGGUGCUGCCCUCAGGGAGUUACCAUGUAGUAAAGGAGACAGAUGGAAUCACACAGAGGAAUGCACGUCUGAUUGUAGCCUGACUGGAGUGCCAUGAAGGAGACCAAGAGGGCAGGGUGAUGGAGAAAGCACAGGAUGAAGUUCUCGUCUUCCUUCCAACAGAAUCUCAGUUGCACUCAGUUGUUGCCCCCCUCGAACCUCCCUUGAGCCUCAGGAGAAACCACCCUGAUUCAGAGGUCCAGAGAAGACCUGACUAGCCCAAGGUAAUUCCGUCCCCUUGCCAGAGUGGCUUGGGCAGGGACACGGGACCUAUUUCAAUGAGGCCAAUGAGACAAAGGUAUUUCUGCUGGGGAGGCAGGGGCUUCAAGCAAAGGGUCUUGCUUGAAAGAGCCACCGGAAGAGGGCUCUCUCCUUCCUUAGGGUGUCACCGUGUCUGGAUGCGAUGCCUGGAAGUGCUACAGCCACUCGCGCCCAGCCUGAAGAUGAAACCAACCCCAAACACAGCCAAGCAGAGAGAUGGAAAGAACUAGGACCCUAAUUACACCACUGAGCAGCUAUAGCAACCAGUUCCAGAGCCCUCUGACUUCCCGCCAAAGUGAGAUGAUAAGAUACUGUUUAAUUUCUCUCUUUUAUAGCCAAACACACCAAAAUUGACACAGAGAUGUGAGCCAUACCUACUACUGUUACUGCUCCAUCCCUAGCUCCAACCACAGUGCAUGGUACAUGGUAGAGAGCCAACAAACACUUGAAGAAUGAAUGGUGCAUAUUGAGUGGGAUUUUCCAGAGGCAGACCUGGAGACAAGGCUUCAAGUGCGUGUGUUGUAUUAAGGAAAUGCUCCCAGGGGACAAUAGCAGAGUGGCAGAAAUGGGACAAGGGGGCCAGGGAGCCAAGAACAGAGAAUCAAUCGUCUAAACAGAGCCCCCUGUUUUUUGUUUCACCUGGGAGUAGCUUCUACCUGAUCCCCAGGGGAACUCUGGGAUGUCAGUGACGGCUCAGCAUUGCCCCUGAGGCAAGGGAGCUGGGCUUUCCUAAUCCCCCACUCCUCAGUCUCUGGCUAAGCGCUGUCCCCAGGGGACUUAAUCACCCAAACACUUCCCCAAGAGUGGCAUCUGCUGACCACUGGAGGCACUGGUACAGUGAAGCGACAGAAGGGAUCAGAGAGGGUCCAGGUGGAGCACAGCAAUGUGGCUGAAUAAUAACUAUAUUAAUUCAUAUAGUUAAUUCUCAAGCAAUGGCAAAGUGUAGGCAGCUUCUUGUCUGCAAACGUUUCCAUGAUAUCUCUCCUGCAGCCAGACGGGUCUUUUCCUGCCGCCUACACAGAAUGGCCAUGGAGCA